ensembl:lncRNA
AUUACAUCUUAUUUGAGCUAAUAAAUAUAACCCAAAACCGGUAGUAAUAAUUUCGCUUGACGCCCUAAAGCCCUUGACAGGGUUGAAUGGAGCAUUGUCAAAAUUUGGAAUUGGUGAUAAUUUCUGUAGAUGGGUUAAGACACUGUAUUCAGGGCCGAAAGCCUCUGUUCUCACCAAUGGACUGAUGUUCCCAUUUUUUAAUAUCUCCAGGUCUACUCGUCAGGGUUGUAGUCUUAGCCCACUCCUGUUCACUAUCUUUAUGGACCCCCUGGCUAUUAAAAUUAGGAAAGAUUCAAGUAUUGUGGGUGUGAACGGAGGGGGGGAGAGAACAUAAAUUAUUUUUGUAUGCAGACAAUAUUGUGGUGAUGUGUCAGGACCCCACCAACUCCAUAACAAAAUUGCUAAAUGUUAUUGGUGAAUUCUCUAAGUUAUCAGGUUACAAAAUUAACUGGCAUAAGUCGGAGGCAAUGCCAAUAUCUCAGACUUGUAUUGCUAAUUUCAAUUUUAAUUUGUUACAAAAAGGGAUGAAAUAUUUAGGAAUUAUACUUAAUCUGAAUGUUGUUACAUGUCUGCAGGCUGCAUGUUUUCUUUCCCUCUCCUUUUGUUUGCCAUUUCCUCAGGUACACAGACUGCAGGCUGGUGUCAAUUUGGGGAUCUCCAGCUAAUUAGAGGAAGGAGGCUUUGAUUAGACAAACCAGGAGUGCACACCUUGAUAAGGAGACUCACCUGUGGCUGGGUGCGGCUCUCUCUUCCUUGCUUGGAAUUGUUUGGCACCUGUGUAGAGCGCCUCUGGUGUAUUUCUUUUGUUUGAUGGUUGUGGUGGGAGUAAAGAGGACUACGUAAGUCUGCGGACCCAAUACACUUAUUCACGUAGAAUCCUUUCUGUUAGAAACACUUGAAAAGCCUCCCAGUGUAACUGCUCAUGAGGUUUCACCAUGCCCACCUGAUGAAAUUCCACACCUUCCAGAGAAGAGAUACUUCCAUUUAUCUACUAUUGCUUUUCCUUGUCUCGAUGAUUAAAGAUGUGUUUGUAGUAAUAAAUUAAUUUUUGAGCAAAUACAUGUUGAGAUGAUUUGGUUGCUUAUGAUGGUUA